GCCAGGUGUGGUGGUGCACACCUGUAAUCCCAGUGACUCAGGAGACUGAGGCAGGAGAAUCACAAGUUCAAAGCCAGCCUCAG
rnacentral:sRNA from 1 species